AUUGAACGCUGGCGGCAGGCCUAACACAUGCAAGUCGAACGAGCGGCGGACGGGUGAGUAUUGUCUGGGGAACUGCCUGAUGGAGGGGGAUAACUACUGGAAACGGUGUCUAAUACCGCAUACUCUAAGAUGUGCCCAGAUGGGAGUAGCUAGUAGGGGGGGUAACGGCUCACCUAGGCGACGAGCCCUAGCUGGUCUGAGAGGAUAACCAGCCACACGGGAACUGAGACACGGUCCAGACUCCUACGGGAGGCAGCAGUGGGGAAUAUUGCACAAUGGGCGCAAGCCUGAUGCAGCCAUGCCGCGUGUGUGAAGAAGGCCUUCGGGUUGUAAAGCACUUUCAGCGGGGAGGCGUUACCCGCAGAAGAAGCACCGGCUAACUCCGUGCCAGCAGCCGCGGUAAUUC
rnacentral:rRNA from 1 species